rnacentral:rRNA from 1 species
AUUGAACGCUGGCGGCAGGCCUAACACAUGCAAGUCGAGCGGCAGCGGAAAGUAGCUUGCUACUUUGCCGGCGAGCGGCGGACGGGUGAGUAAUGUCUGGGAAACUGCCUGAUGGAGGGGGAUAACUACUGGAAACGGUGGCUAAUACCGCAUAACGUCGCAAGACCAAAGUGGGGGACCUUCGGGCCUCACGCCAUCGGAUGUGCCCAGAUGGGAUUAGCUAGUAGGUGGGGUAAUGGCUCACCUAGGCGACGAUCCCUAGCUGGUCUGAGAGGAUGACCAGCCACACUGGAACUGAGACACGGUCCAGACUCCUACGGGAGGCAGCAGUGGGGAAUAUUGCACAAUGGGCGCAAGCCUGAUGCAGCCAUGCCGCGUGUGUGAAGAAGGCCUUCGGGUUGUAAAGCACUUUCAGCGAGGAGGAAGGCAUCAUACUUAAUACGUGUGGUGAUUGACGUUACCCGCAGAAGAANCACCGGCUAACUCCGUGCCAGCAGCCGCGGUAAUACGGAGGGUGCAAGCGUUAAUCGGAAUUACUGGGCGUAAAGCGCACGCAGGCGGUUUGNUAANUCANANGUGAAAUCCCCNCGCUUAACGUGGGAACUGCAUUUGAAACUGGCAAGCUAGANUCUUGUAGAGGGGGGUA